CUAAGAAUAUUCCGCAAUGGACGGAAGUCUGACGGAGCGACGCCGCGUGGAUGACGAAGGCCGAAAGGUUGUAAAGUUCUUUUGCUGGGGAAGAAUAACCGCAGGAGGGAAUGCCUGUGGGAUGACAAGAACCGGCGAAUAAGCCCCGGCCAACUACGUGCCAGCAGCCGCGGUAACACGUAGGGGGCGAGCGUUGUUCGGAAUUACUGGGCGUAAAGGGCAUGUAGGCGGCUUGGAAAGCCUGGCGUGAAAGUCUGCAGCUUAACUGCAGGGGUGCGCUGGGAACUGCUGAGCUUGAGUGACGGAGAGGGAGCUGGAAUUCCUGGUGUAGGGGUGAAAUCUGUAGAUAUCAGGAAGAACACCGAUGGCGAAGGCAAGCUCCUGGCCGAUGACUGACGCUGAGGUGCGAAAGUGUGGGGAUCAAACAGGAUUAGAUACCCUGGUAGUCCACACAGUCAACGAUGUGCACUAGGUGCUGGGGCGGUAGCUUCGGUGCCGGAGCGAACGUGGUAAGUGCACCGCCUGGGGAGUAUGC
rnacentral:rRNA from 1 species